rnacentral:ncRNA from 1 species
AAAUGAUUUGCCAUGUGCUCGUACCUGACGUCAGAUACUUAUCAUUUACUAUAAAGAAAGGUCGCGAUCUCAUGAGGGUGAGCUAAUUAUUAAAACCCGUCCUUAAUUCGGGUUGAUGGCUGCAACUCGCCUAUAUGAAGCAGGAAUCGCUAGUAAUAACCAGGUCAGUCAUACGGUGGUGAAUCCGUUCCCGGGCCUUAUACA